UACGGAGGGAGCUAGCGUUGUUCGGAAUUACUGGGCGUAAAGCGCACGUAGGCGGCUUUGUAAGUUAGAGGUGAAAGCCCGGAGCUCAACUCCGGAACUGCCUUUAAGACUGCAUCGCUUGAAUCCAGGAGAGGUGAGUGGAAUUCCGAGUGUAGAGGUGAAAUUCGUAGAUAUUCGGAAGAACACCAGUGGCGAAGGCGGCCUUCUGGACCAAUACUGACGCUGAGGCACGAAAGCGUGGGGAGCAAACAGG
rnacentral:rRNA from 1 species